AUUGAACGCUGGCGGCAGGCCUAACACAUGCAAGUCGAGCGAGCGGAGGACGGGUGAGAAAUGUCUGGGAAACUGCCUGAUGGAGGGGGAUAACUACUGGAAAAGGUAGCUAAUACCGCAUACCCUCAGAUGUGCCCCGAUGGGAUUAGCUAGUAGGGGGGGUAACGGCUCACCGAGGCGACGAUCCCUAGCCGGUCUGAGAGGAUGACCAGCCAAACGGGAACUGGGACACGGUCCAUACGCCUACGGUAGGCAGCAGUGGGGAAUAUUGCACAAUGGGCGCAAGCCUGAUGCAGCCAUGCCGCGUGUGUGACGAAGGCCUUCGGGUUGUAAAGCACUUUCAGCGGGGAGGCGUUACCCGCAGAAGAAGCACCGGCUAACUCCGUGCCAGCAGCCGCGGUAAUUC
rnacentral:rRNA from 1 species